rnacentral:tRNA from 1 species
UGGCAUAGUGGUUAAAGCACUUGGCUGCAAACCAAAAGGUUGGCAGUUCAAAUCUGCC